GCAUAUCAAUAAGCGGAGGAAAAAGAAACCAACAGGGAUUACCUUCAGUAACGGCGAAGUGAAGCGGUAACAGCUCAAAUUUGAAAUCUGGUCCCCUCUGGGGGCCCGAGUUGUAAUUUGAAGAGGAUGCUUUUGGCGAGGCGCCUUCCGAGUGCCCUGGAACGGGACGCCACAGAGGGUGAGAGCCCCGUAUGGUAGGACGCCGAGCCUCUGUAAAGCUCCUUCGACGAGUCGAGUAGUUUGGGAAUGCUGCUCAAAAUGGGAGGUAAACCCCUUCUAAAGCUAAAUAUUGGCCAGAGACCGAUAGCGCACAAGUAGAGUGAUCGAAAGAUGAAAAGCACUUUGAAAAGAGAGUUAAACAGCACGUGAAAUUGUUGAAAGGGAAGCGCUUGCGACCAGACUUGCGCCCGUCGGAUCAACCGUCCCUCGUGGGCGGCGCACUCCGGCGGGCUCAGGCCAGCAUCAGUUUUCCUGGGGGGAGAAAGGCGGUGGGAAUGUAGCUCUUCGGAGUGUUAUAGCCUGCCGCGUAAUGCCCCCGGGGGGACUGAGGACCGCGCGUAAGCAAGGAUGCUGGCGUAAUGGUCGUCAGCGACCCGUCUUGAAACACGGACCAAGGAGUCGUCCUAAUAUGCGAGUGUACGGGUGUAAAACCCCUGCGCGUAAUGAAAGUGAACGGAGGUGAGAGCUUCGGCGCAUCAUCGACCGAUCCUGAUGUUCUCGGAUGGAUUUGAGUAAGAGCAUAUUGGGCCGGACCCGAAAGAAGGUGAACUAUGCCUGUAUAGGGUGAAGCCAGAGGAAACUCUGGUGGAGGCUCGCAGCGGUUCUGACGUGCAAAUCGAUUCGUUCAAAUAAUGGGCAUGGGGGCGAAAGACUAAUCGAACCUUUCUAGUAGCUGGUUUCCGCCGAAG
rnacentral:rRNA from 1 species